UCUGUCUGUCUGUCUGUCUGUUUCUGUCUGUCUGUCUGUUUCUUUCUCUGUCUGUCUGUUUCUGUCUCUGUCUGUCUGUCUGCCUUUGCUCUGUUCGUUUGAGCCUCAGAUUGUGAAGGUGAAUCUGCUGCCUGCUCAGUUAUGGAUUACUUGAAGAAGGAAAACAUAAUUUUUUAUUCAUUUGAUUUCCUUGAAGGCUUCCUGCCUGCAGCUUCUGCAACAAGGAGUCGCUAGAAAAUGUUAACAAUCAUUUAAAGCAAAACAACACAAACGGACAUGAAGGCCGAUGGAAACACAACAGGAAUGAUUUAGCCGCAGAUCUCCAUCUGGACGCCACGUCCUCUGGAAACGCUGCAGGACGUUGACAUCUGUUUGGAAGCUGGAAAAUCAAAAUUAACAGAAAUAAUUUGGGAUAUUUAGAUUCACAGGAGAAAAAAAGGCUUCAUUUUUCAAAGUUAUAUUUUCAUGUUAUUCAUUUAUUUAUAAAUGCCACAGUUUCAAACUAAAUAUUUAGCAUAUUAGCUAAAUAUUUAACUCAGUAUUUAGCUCAGAGCUAAAUAUUUAGCUAAUAUGCAAAUUCACUUUCUGAUAACCGGAAGUGGACUACCAAAAUAAAAGCUGUCUAGCAAACCUGUAUAUAAACUCCUGCUGGUGAACUGCAGUUUAAAUGGGAGUUUAUUUCAAUAUGUUUGAUUUUUAAUACAAAGGUUUUAUUUUGAUAGUAACAUGAUUUUGCAUCUUAGCUAAAUAUUGAUGUGAAAACUAAACAUUUUGUUUGAAUAUAAAUUAGUUAUACAUUCUUGAUGACUGUUGCAGCCAUGUUUAGACCGGUUGCUGCCAUGGCAACCGGUCUAAACAUAAGAACUGGUGCAAAAUAUUUGGAUUAAUGUUGUUUUGAUGCUGAAUUGGAGAAGCUGAAGAGGUUAUAGAUGUGAUUUUGAUAAUGAACUUGAAAUGAUGUAAAAUGUGUAACUGCAAUCAAAGAUCACUGAUGUCGUGUUGGAGGGAUGUUCUAGGUGGGAGUUUAGGAGAAAGGAGAACUGAAAAGCACAGCCCAGCACAAAAAAGAGGAACUACACCGAAACCAGACUGCUGAAGAGAAGGAAAGUUUGCAGGCUGAAGGAUGGAGUGUGACCCUCGAACAGGCCGGGGACAAGGACACAGACAUGACAUAAUGUCUCCAAGUCGAAGGCGGAACUGAGAUCAUCUAUUCAUCUAGAUAACCAAUGGAAAAAGGAAGAUGGUGACAUGAGAUGGACCUUUAAGCAUCGGUCGGCUGCAGAAGAAGAGAAGUGGGUUUUUCCUUCCGUAAGGUCUGCACUGUCACCAAGACGGAUCAACGAGGCCUUGGAUCUACGCAGCGGGGCCCUCUGAGUUGUGGGGCCCUCUGAGUUGUGGGGCCCUUAGAGCUGUGGGGCCCUCUGAGUUGUGGGGCCCUCUGAGUUGUGGGGCCCUCUGAGUUGUGGGGCCCUCUGAGUUUUGGGGCUGCAGCAGAGCACCUGUACGCUCAUGAGGAAAUUCCCCACAAGCCAACUCCCGCAGCUCUGGAUUAAGACCCCCUCUGGCAUCUUAAGGCUUCCUGAGAACCGGGUCCCCCUCCCUCUACCAGGACUGAUCCCAACGGACCAAUCUGGAGCUUGUGGUUCAGUUCUCCAUCUCACAAAUUGUUCUCAGUGCAAGCAGUGAUAGAGAUCAGGGUGAGAGAUGUUGAAUUGAAGUUGAUUUCAUUACAUAGUUGUCUCUGUAAUUUGAUGUUUGCAUCUAUUUUCUGCUAUGUGCCGUAUAAUUCCCUAUUCCUACCCAUAUUAAACAAGCAUACAAAGA